AAAUGGGGCCAAGGAAAAGGGAGGAUAAAUAUGGAUAAGAAGCUACAAACCAAAAGGAAUAGAGGAGCAAUGGGGAAUAAAUGAAAACACAGUNAAAUCACACCCAAAACCCUCUAAUUCAAUCCUCUUCUUGAUUCCAUUAUUCACAUAAGUUUUUUUUUUAAUUUUCUUAUUUUUCUGUAUUUUUUUUUUCUUUUUUUUUUUUCAUCUUGUCUCUUUUCUUUUCUC
rnacentral:lncRNA from 1 species